rnacentral:rRNA from 1 species
GACGAACGCUGGCGGCGUGCCUAAUACAUGCAAGUAGAACGCUGAAGAGAGGAGCUUGCUCUUCUUGGAUGAGUUGCGAACGGGUGAGUAACGCGUAGGUAACCUGCCUUGUAGCGGGGGAUAACUAUUGGAAACGAUAGCUAAUACCGCAUAACAAUGGAUGACACAUGUCAUUUAUUUGAAAGGGGCAAUUGCUCCACUACAAGAUGGACCUGCGUUGUAUUAGCUAGUAGGUGAGGUAAUGGCUCACCUAGGCGACGAUACAUAGCCGACCUGAAAGGGUGAGCGGCCACGCUGGGACUGAGACACGGCCCAGACUCCUACGGGAGGCAGCAGUAGAGAAUCUUCGGCAAUGGGAGCAACCCUGACCGAGCGACGCCGCGUGAGUGAAGAAGGUAUUCGGAUCGUAAAGCUCUGUUGUAAGUCAAGAACGGGUGUGAGAGUGGAAAGUUCACACUGUGACGGUAGCCGACCAGAAAGGGACGGCUAACUACGUG